rnacentral:rRNA from 1 species
UACGGAGGGUGCAAACGUUGCUCGGAAUCAUUGGGCGUAAAGCGCACGUAGGCGGACCGCUAAGUCGGAUGUGAAAGCCCUCGGCUUAACCGAGGAAGUACAUUCGAAACUGACGGUCUUGAGUAUGGAAGAGGGUCGCGGAAUUCCCGGUGUAGAGGUGAAAUUCGUAGAUAUCGGGAGGAACACCAGUGGCGAAGGCGGCGACCUGGGCCAAUACUGACGCUGAGGUGCGAAAGCGUGGGGAGCAAACAGG